GACGCGCGGCGCAGUGGUAAGUGACACUGGUUGACAACGAGUUGGCCCGGGUUCAAAUCCCGGGCAGCGUCA